GAGGCCAUAGCUCAGUGGUAGAGCACUUGCCUAGCAUGCAUGAGGCACUGGGUUCA
rnacentral:tRNA from 1 species